rnacentral:rRNA from 1 species
CCAAUAGCGUAUAUUAAAGUUGUUGCAGUUAAAAAGCUCGUAGUUGAAUUUCGGGGUCAGUAGUUUGGUCGUGCCAACGGUAUGUACUGGGCUCACUGAUUCCUCCUUCCUGAUGAACUGUAAUGCCAUUAAUUUGGUGUUGCAGGGAGCCUGGACUGUUACUUUGAAAAAAUUAGAGUGUUUAAAGCAAGCUAACGCUUGAAUACAUUAGCAUGGAAUAAUGAAAUAGGACGUUCGAUCCUAUUUUGUUGGUUUCUAGGAUUGACGUAAUGAUUAAUAGGGAUAGUUGGGGGCACUAGUAUUCAAUUGUCAGAGGUGAAAUUCUUGGAUUUAUUGAAGACUAACUACUGCGAAAGCAUUUGCCAAGGAUGUUUUCAUUAAUCAAGAACGAAAGUUAGGGGAUCGAAGACGAUCAGAUACCGUCGUAGUCUUAACCAUAAACUAUGCCGACUAGGGAUCGGAUGAUGUUAAUUUUUUAAUGACUCAUUCGGCGCCUUACG